rnacentral:rRNA from 1 species
GAUGAACGCUGGCGGCGUGCCUAAUACAUGCAAGUCGAGCGAACAGACGAGGAGCUUGCUCCUCUGACGUUAGCGGCGGACGGGUGAGUAACACGUGGAUAACCUACCUAUAAGACUGGGAUAACUUCGGGAAACCGGAGCUAAUACCGGAUAAUAUAUUGAACCGCAUGGUUCAAUAGUGAAAGACGGUUUUGCUGUCACUUAUAGAUGGAUCCGCGCCGCAUUAGCUAGUUGGUAAGGUAACGGCUUACCAAGGCAACGAUGCGUGGCCGACCUGAGAGGGUGAUCGGCCACACGGGAACUGAGACACGGUCCAGACUCCUACGGGAGGCAGCAGUAGGGAAUCUUCCGCAAUGGGCGAAAGCCUGACGGAGCAACGCCGCGUGAGUGAUGAAGGUCUUCGGAUCGUAAAACUCUGUUAUUAGGGAAGAACAAAUGUGUAAGUAACUAUGCACGUCUUGACGGUACCUAAUCAGAAAGCCACGGCUAACUACGUG